CACUGUGUUUACAGAUAAUCCAGCAAGUUUGCAGGCCAAAUGGCUCUCUAAAUCUAAGUCCACAAAGCACUGAAUGACACAGCAUGCUGCUCAGGGAGAUUCCAGCACAGCUCACCAGAAGUUCUCACUGACCAGGGGAAUGUUAGAUUCUACCAGGAUGGACACCCUGAGCUACAAAGGGGAAUUUCAUACACGCCUCUGAAGAACUGUCAGAUUGACUUACAGUGAGUAACUGCUCCAGUAUCGCUGAGUGUCCAGGUAUAAACUCUGUGUUCUUUUAUUGGCCCUUUAAGCUAUCCUUUCCCUAAAGGUACUAAGGUACUUUUUUAUCAGUGCUGAAAUA
rnacentral:lncRNA from 1 species